rnacentral:lncRNA from 1 species
UUUCUUUGGUCUCUUUCGAAUCUAUUUUCUUUUUAUGAUUUGAUUUUUAUAUAGGGUACCAGAGAAAUCUUGAUUUGAAUCGUCAUUUUUUUUGUUACUCUUGCUCUUUUUUUAUCCGGGAUAUGAUCCCCCCAAAAAUAAACAGGUAUGGAAGCUAUAAUUGUAAACCACGAUCGAAUCUAUGGAAGCAUUGGUUUAUACAUUCCUAUUAGUCUCGACUCUAGGGAUAAUUUUUUUCGCUAUCUUUUUUAGAGAACCGCCGACAAUUUCAAAAAUGGAUUAUGGGAAAUAAAAAAAAAAAAAAAAAAAAAAAAAAGU